rnacentral:lncRNA from 1 species
UUACCUUGUGCAUCUCCACCAGUUACAGAUACCACCCCUGGAUAGAGGAAGAGUACUUCUAGAGAAGAUGCCACAUCUACCUAUGAGACAGAUAAGGCAAGUCAAGACGAUACCACACUCCGGUACUUAGAAGUUUCGUGGUUACGAGAUCAUUAUCCCACAAUAUUUCCUAAUGUCAUUUGUACUAAAUCAUUCACUUGUACUCACUAAAGGAGAGCUUGAACCUAUGUACUUGUGUAAACCCUUCACAAUUAAUGAGAACUCCUCUAUUCUGUGGACGUAGCCAAUCUGGGUGAACCAUGUACAUCUUGUGUUU